UACGGAGGGUGCGAGCGUUGUCCGGAAUCACUGGGCGUAAAGGGCGCGUAGGUGGCGCGGGCAGUCAACGGUGAAAGUUCGGGGCUCAACCCUGAAUCGGCCGUCGAUACUCCCGUGCUUGAGCACUGUAGAGGCAGAUGGAAUUCCUGGUGUAGCGGUGAAAUGCGCAGAUAUCAGGAAGAACACCCGUGGCUAAGGCGGCUCUCUAGUACGUGACUGGACGCUGAGACG
rnacentral:rRNA from 1 species